UACGAAGGGUGCUAGCGUCGUUCGGAAUUACUGGGCGUAAAGCGCGCGUAGGCGGCUUUACAAGUCAGGGGUGAAAUCCUGGAGCUCAACUCCAGAAUUGCCUUUGAAACUGUAAAGCUUGAGUGUCGGAGGGGAUAGCGGAAUUGCUAAUGUAGAGGUGAAAUUCGUAGAUAUUAGCAGGAACACCGGUGGCGAAGGCGGCUAUCUGGACGACAACUGACGCUGAGGCGCGAAAGCGCGGGGAUCAAACAGG
rnacentral:rRNA from 1 species